GAUGAACGCUGGCGGCGUGCCUAACACAUGCAAGUCGAGCGAAUGAAGUUCCUUCGGGGACGGAUUUAGCGGCGGACGGGUGAGUAACACGUGGGCAACCUGCCUCAUAGAGGGGAAUAGCCUUCCGAAAGGGAGAUUAAUACCGCAUAAGAUUGUAGUACCGCAUGAUACAGCAAUUAAAGGAGCAAUCCGCUAUGAGAUGGGCCCGCGGCGCAUUAGCUAGUUGGUGAGGUAACGGCUCACCAAGGCGACGAUGCGUAGCCGACCUGAGAGGGUGAUCGGCCACAUUGGGACUGAGACACGGCCCAGACUCCUACGGGGAGGCAGCAGGUGGGGAAUAUUGCACAAGUGGGGGAAACCCUGAUGCAGCAACGCCGCGUGAGUGAUGACGGCCUUCGGUUGUAAGACUCUGUCUGGAGGGACGGAAGGAAGUGACGGUACCGUCCGGAGGAAGACCACGGCUAACUACGUGCCAGCAGCCGCGGUAACGUGAGU
rnacentral:rRNA from 1 species